rnacentral:rRNA from 1 species
AGGACGAACGCUGGCGGCGUGCUUAACACAUGCAAGUCGAGCGGAAAGGCCCUUCGGGGUACUCGAGCGGCGCACGGGUGAGUAACACGUGACUAACCUACCCUUGAGUGGGGAAUAACUUCGGGAAACCGAGGCUAAUACCGCAUAACACCUACGGGUCAAAGGAGCAAUUCGCUUAAGGAGGGGGUCGCGGCAGAUUAGUUAGUUGGCAGGGUAAUGGCCUACCAAGACGGUGAUCUGUAUCC